rnacentral:rRNA from 1 species
AUGCGUGCUAAGAAAGAUUGCUUUGUAAGAGCGUGUUCUUCUAAUUUUCAUGAUAAUAAUGAUGAAGAUCUAAAAGUUAUUGAUGUGUCUCCUAUUAAAUCAUCGUUUUGCAAUAUUAAGCUUAAUAAUGAUGGGACCGGAGAUGAGUCAACUUUAGUAAAAAAACAUUCCAAUGAUUUGGAGUAUUUUGAUCUUGAUGCUAAAAUUGGUAAAAGUGGGAUUGGAGAGAUUAAAACUUUACAUAACAAUGAACCCACUACUUCGGAUUUCAAGGAAUUUAAUUAUGAUAAUUGUUCCUUAAUAGAUUGUAUUUCCUUGUUGCAAUCCGUGUUGAAUUCUCCUCAUGCUUAUAGUCAAAAUAAAGCUUUUACUAAACAUAUCGUUGAUGCUUUGAUGCAAUCUUAUGAAGAAAAACUUGAAUUAGAAGUUUCUAUACUUAGUGGCUGUGACCGUUGA